CGGGAAUGAGCUCAAAUUUGAAAUCUGGUAGCCUUCGGCUGCCCGAGUUGUAAUCUAGAGAAGUGUUUUCCGUGCCGGCCCAUGUACAAGUCCCUUGGAACAGGGCGUCAUAGAGGGUGAGAAUCCCGUCCUUGACAUGGACCCCCGGUGCUUUGUGAUACACUUUCAACGAGUCGAGUUGUUUGGGAAUGCAGCUCAAAAUGGGUGGUGAAUUCCAUCUAAAGCUAAAUAUUGGCGAGAGACCGAUAGCGAACAAGUACCGUGAGGGAAAGAUGAAAAGCACUUUGGAAAGAGAGUUAAACAGUACGUGAAAUUGUUGAAAGGGAAACGAUUGAAGUCAGUCAUGCUCUUUGGAUUCAGCCGUUCUGCGGUGUAUUUCCAUUGAGUGGGGUCAACAUCAGUUUUGAUCGCUGGAUAAAGGCACUACGAAGGUAGCACUCUCGGGUGAACUUUUAUCCAACCGUCAUAUAAAA
rnacentral:rRNA from 1 species